GAACGCGAAAGGGGGCAACCCUGAGUAGAGUGGCGCACGGGUGAGUAAUGCAUCGGAACGUAUCCAGUAGUGGGGGACAACCAGUCGAAAGAUUGGCUAAUACCGCAUACGCUGGUGACAGGAAAGCGGGGGACCCUGAGCAGAGCGCGCCGGGAAGGCGUUGCGCUCUGCGCGUUGUGCUCAGGGCCUCGCGCUAUUGGAGCGGCCGAUGUCCGAUUAGCUAGUUGGUGAGGUAAAAGCCCACCAAGGCGACGAUCGGUAGCUGGUCUGAGAGGACGACCAGCCACACUGGGACUGAGACACGGCCCAGACUCCUACGGGAGGCAGCAGUGGGGAAUUUUGGACAAUGGGGGAAACCCUGAUCCAGCCAUGCCGCGUGCGGGAAGAAGGCCUUCGGGUUGUAAACCGCUUUCGGCCGGGACGAAAUCGCAUCGAUGAAUAAUCGGUGUGGAUGACGGUACCGGAAGAAGAAGCACCGGCUAACUACGUG
rnacentral:rRNA from 1 species